UACGUAGGGUGCGAGCGUUAAUCGGAAUUACUGGGCGUAAAGCGUGCGUAGACGGUAGCGUAAGUCGGGUGUGAAAGCCCCGGGCUCCAACCUGGGAAUUGCAUUCGAGACUGCUCUGCUAGGGUGCGGAAGAGGGAAGCGGAAUUUCCGGUGUAGCGGUGAAAUGCGUAGAUAUCGGAAGGAACACCAGUGGCGAAAGCGGCUUCCUGGUCCAGCACCGACGUCAGGCACGAAAGCGUGGGGAGCAACAGG
rnacentral:rRNA from 1 species